rnacentral:rRNA from 1 species
CUUGGUCAUUUAGAGGNAGUAAAAGUCGUAACAAGGUUUCCGUAGGUGAACCUGCGGAAGGAUCAUUAUUGAAAUUAUAGGUGAGGGUUGUAGCUGGCCCCUCGGGGCAUGUGCACGCCCGAGCCCUUAAAUCCCACACACACCUGUGAACCUAUUGUAAGGGCCCGUAAAAAAGGCCUUUACGUCUUUAUCACCUACCCGAAGUCUCAUAGAAUGUAAAUGUUAUGUCCUCGCCUUAAAAAAGCGUUGAUAAAAAAAAAUUAUACAACUUUCAACAACGGAUCUCUUGGCUCUCGCAUCGAUGAAGAACGCAGCGAAAUGCGAUAAGUAAUGUGAAUUGCAGAUUUUCAGUGAAUCAUCGAAUCUUUGAACGCACCUUGCGCUCCUUGGUAUUCCGAGGAGCAUGCCUGUUUGAGUGUCAUUAAAUUCUCAAACUCUGAUUGAUUUGUUUCAAUCGGAGGUUUGGAUUUGGAGUGUGCCGGCGUCAAGUCGGCUCCUCUUGAAUGCAUCAGCGGAAUCCCAUUCAUUUCGGACGUCAGUGUGAUAAUCAUGUUGCGCUGUCUUUGCGAUCUUGAAAGCCCGCUCACAAUGGUCUUCGGACAAACCUCACAUAUCAUAUUUGACCUCAAAUCAGGUAGGACUACCCGCUGAACUUAAGCAUAUCAAUAAGCGGAGA